CAGCCUCUGACCUGUAACAAGCAAGAAACUGAAGCUUCCAAUUCUAUACUGGCAAGGCACUGAACUUUACCUGAAUUUCCCAGAAUUAUCUUCCCUGAAUAUUUCCAAGAGAAGUUUUCCAUGAGAUAAAUUUCUGAAAUUUCCAAGGCAGAACUGGAAAAGCAGUCACUUUAUGCUCUAAAGAAAAUGGAAAUCUACAACAACCCAAAGUUAAGAGUGCAGAUAAUGACCCAGGUUCCUCAGGACCGAAGCUUUGGGCAAGUCCACCAAGCAAGCAUCCAUGACCACCUGAAUUACUUGCUAAGGGGAAAGAAAUGUGUAUUGAGUAGUUAAUAACGGACACCUUUAAAAAUAUAAACUGUGACAAUGUGUCCAGUUGCAGAAAUGAGGAAUGCAAUUGCUAUGAAUAUAUCUUCCUUAUUUUGAUCAGAAUGUAUUUGUAUAUAUACUAAUAUACUACUUUCUAUUUAUCUUUUGUUUUGUUCUACUAGUUAAUAAAUGUAAUUUUCAGGUAAUUUUAUAUCUACCAUUUAAGUUACAGGUUAUUACAAGAGAGAAGGUAAUUCAGCUAGCAGAAGAGUGAACAUUUUAUUAUCAUUUAGGGAAAAAAUAGGAAUUUGUAUUAUUCUUGGGAGGGGUGUUUGUGUUUGUGGUUAUAUGUAGGUGAAUAGCAUCGUGUUAAACAUAAAUGUGAUUUUUCUUCCUCACAUGGCUCUAAAUUAGAAUUGAUCAAACAGCAGUUUACAUAAGAUUUGG
rnacentral:lncRNA from 10 species